GAAGCAGCCAAGCCAAGCAUUCCCGCUAGGGUUUUACCACCCAAAACCCUGUAAUCUCAUUUCAUCACAAACCUUGUCUUACAUUUGCACACAAAUCUAACGGUUCUCCUUUUCCGAUGGCAAUCGCCGCCGCUAGAUCCAUUUUCCGGUCACCGUCCGUACGCAAUGCCGCAUCUAAAAUCGCAUCGGAAGCUAAAUCAGCUCGUUCAUCUCCCUUUCGCACACCUUCUUCUUCUUCUAGAACUCCUCUUUCUCACCGCAUCUUCAGGUGUCCUGCUGAGAUGAGUGCUUGUUUGGAGUCAUUGCAGCCAUAUCAUACCGUUACUGCUUCCGCUUUGAUGACUUCUAUGCUUACUGAUUCUCUUCGUAGUUACAGUUGGCUCUCUGAAGGUAUCUAGCAAGACCUAUAGGACCCUCAUUUGAUGUCCUUCCCUCAUUUACUACUUUGCUCAAAAUGAAGAUGUGUGAUGAUUUUUGGAGUGCUGGAGCAAAAUUAGAAGUGUGUACUUUUGCACAUUGUGGCGCUAAGUAAAGUCCAAAGAGAUGCCCCUGGGUUUCUUAAAAUUUUAAACUUAGAAGUGCUAGAUCUUAUCUUCUUUUAAUACUACAAACAUGUAGCUCAACACUUGAUGUAGCAAUUUAUACUGAAAUAAGUUGAUGAUUUCUAACU